UGUCCAUCUUCCACUUUCACUAAAUAGCAUUCCAGUGGAGUUUGGGAUGGCAGAGGAAGGGAAGGAAUUGCCAAGAUUUUGAUGUACAGCUGUAGUCAGGGAAUUAGAUUGAGAGGAACACUGUAAAGGUUCCCAAAGAGUGACAAAUUGUAAAAACAGACAAGUCUUUGCUGUUUAAAACCAAAUGGUACACUCCAAGGCGUCAGUCUGCUCUUCUGGACAUCUCUUCCACAAAAGUGAAAGAGAUGGUUCAGGCAAAUGAGAAAAGCAUUAGUUUUAUGUUUGAGAUUAGCAGUGCUUGGGGAGUGCCCCAUGGUCUAGAGCCCAAACCCAUCAGGUGGUGCAAAUUUACCAGAGAAAGAUCUCUCUUCUUCAGCUCCAGUAAUAUAUACACACAUAUAUAUAUAUAUAACAAUACAAGGAAUCAAUGUUGUAUCAAUAAUAUUAAUGUUAGUUUGCCAGUCUGCCAUACUUUCCCUUCACCUAAAAUUUACUAGAUAGAGUGGGAGAGGAGAAGGUUUUUGAAACUAAAAAAUCCACCCUAAGACUUUAUGACCGACUAGCCUUUGGCUUUGAGGGAAGUAGUUGAUGUGAAAUCACACGGAGGGAGGAGUUACGUUAUGACAUCAAGAAAGAAAAGAAUGUGUUUACUCCUCCCGAUCACGACAUAUUCUAAAGAUUUAGGUUGGGCGAUAUUUCCCCUUAGCAUCUAGUAUUACAACGCAAGGGAAAGAAGAAAGACAGGACAAUGAUUGUAAAUCAUUCCACCCGAGUCUUCACUUUGGGGAGUUCUUGAAUGGUGGGAUUUUGUUUUGCUUUUAUGAAUCAAGCAAGGAUCCUUGUGGAAGCUUGUCGCGAAGCCGAGAGGAAAGGAUGAAUGAAUAGCCUAGAGGUGACUUAGCCUGUCUGUAUCUAGGAGGGCUUCACCCGAUUCAGCCCUAGGAACCUCCUCUCAUCCAGAAAUUCAGUCUGUUCAGCCCUUUAUCACGCUGUUGGCUGUUUUGAUUAACUUAUCCGUUCCCUAAAAAAGCCACCAGCCUCUCUGAAUUGGGGCUGGGAAGGAAGAUGGUCCCCGGUUCCCCCCUUCUCAGAAUUAGCUACGGCCCCACAGAGUUCUGGGGACUCCCACGUGGCUGGCCGACAGUUUAGUGUCUAAAACAAAGCGCUGUUGAAUUUGUGUUUCCCGGUGGGAAGGGGAAAGAGUUGAAAUGUAUUUUGUCAGAGGAGAACGGACCUUGGGAACGUCGCCGGAUGCUGCUUCCCUCGCUCCCCUUCCCCAGCCGAGCGCUAAGAGUUCUAAGCACAACAAGGGGCUUUUCUUUGGGACGUGGCCGUCCUUGCCGCCCAGAUUUUAGAAACAGUACUCGGGUCAUUCCGGGAGGCUCGGCUUCUGCCCAGCCGCCGCCGCCGCUGCGGGGGUCUGUAGAACCGGAGACAAAAAAGGGGAGGGGCCCUCGCUGACGAGCCUCUGGGCGCGCAAAGUUUGAUUCUCUCCGCCUUUGCGACCCCGUUCCUGCUCCGCGCCCGGCCCGGGCUGCGCAGAAUCCGUCCGCCUGGCCGGGGCAGCCACCGGGAAGCGGUCCCCGCCCUCGGCCGGAACGGAGGCGCGUCAGGGCCGCGCGCGCGGGGGGCUCUGGGAUCGUCCCUCGGCAUCGGUGUCCCGGCCUUUGGCGGGGGGGGGGGGUCUGUGCAGGCCCGUCGCCUACGUCGGGAAGGGCGGCCUCCCGCUGGCUAUCUGCUGCUUGCCCGGCUCGCCCCCGCCGGUCCCCCGCCCGGAGACGAGCGGACACUGCCACCUAGUGAGCGGCCUCUGCCAGAAGCCAGGAGCCGCCGGGCUGCGCGGGGCCGGCAGAGGGAGCCCCGCGGGCCGGAGCCGGCGCGGGCCGGAGCCGGCGCGCGGCCGCCGUGGCGCCCCGGGCUGCCCGCGGGGCUCCGUCCUGCGCUGGGGAGGAAGCGCCGCCAGAGCGGGCCGCUGCGGCUCCCAAAAUCCUGACGUGGAACGGCUCCGUCCCUUUUUUUGCUCCCCAACCACACACUGGGCGUGGGUCUGAGAGGAGAUUUCCCGCCCUCUCUUUGUGUCUCCCCGCGGAGCGUUACAGCCGAGAGCCCCAGUCCGCCCAGGCCGCAGGCGGGGCCCGCUCCGCCGCUUAGUGACCUCGGGCAGCCUUCUCCGUCCGACUGGCGCCCAGUCCUCGAACUACCUACCUCCCAGCGUUGUUGUGAGGCCCCGCUCUGUCAGCUGCCCGGGAGCCUGGGGUCGGCCUGCCAGCGCCCGAGGCGCUUCCCCGCCCGGGCGGGAGAUUCGCACCCAGGCCCCCCGGGGAGGCCCGCGCCGAGCUCCGGAGACUCGGACGCGGUCACUUGGCCGUUCUGUUCCUUCCCUUCCUCCCCUCCCCUCUGGAAUAGGCAAAGGGGUUGGCUUAUGUUGUAAGGGGCAGCGCAGCCCUUGGGGAGGGACAGUCAGAAGGGCCUGGUCACACACACACACACACACACACACACACACACACACACACCCUUUUGGUCAGGGAGUUCUCAGAUCCCUGCCCUUAACCGCAGCGUCGGUGCCAAUUGCGGGCCCAGAUGGACUCCUGAGCAACUUUGUAGUCAUUGAUAACGCGUGUCGGGGGGAGGGGGGAAGGGAUGCAAACCCCUGAGCAUAACCGAUGUUACCCCAAGCUGUAAGCGGAGCUCUCCUAGACUUUUCCUUUCCGUUUUUUGUACCUUUUUUGUUCCGAGUGACUUCUGGUUUUUUUCAUGGUGAUCCUAGGAUCUUAGGAAAUUUAAGGGAAAAAAUUAACAUAAUUUAUUAAAGAUGGUUAACAGAAAAAAAAAAAAAGUUUACCUUUGAAAGGUAAAAUGGAGAAAUAGACACUGUUUUUAAAUGCCAAUAAAAACCUCAUUUAUUUCAUAUAUGCAACUUGAUUUGCACAUUUAUGAAGAGGCUUUCUGCAUUUUUACUUAGGUUUUUUGGUUGCUGCUGCUGCUGCCCAUCACUUGUUCCUUUCUUGAACGUGGCCUCGUGCUUAGAAAUGUCAGAUUCUGUUUCCUAGGCUGUAUUUAUUGUUUAAAUCAUGUGCCUUUUCAUUUUUCUUUGGGGUUCUAUGUUGGGAGCCAGAUGCUAUUUGAAGGAGUAUAAUGGAACACCAGUUCUGCCACAUGACUCUACCUUGUUCUAAAUGUAGAUAUAUGUAGCGUGUGUUCUUCAAAACGCCCUUUGUGUCCCCACAAAUGAACAAAGAAGGGAAAAAAAUAAUAUGUGAGAAAAAUGGAUUGUCAUCAUUCUUUCCAAAUGUUCACUCUCUGUGGCUUCCCUUUGGUUAAAUAUCCUCAUCAAGAGAACCUUGAGUGAGAAAGUGGAGUUCAUAUCCAAUUCUCAAUCUCCUGGGGAAGGGACGCAGAAGGGGUAACUCACACAGCCCUCCAGGGGAUCAAAGCAUGAGCCUUAUAAAAUGGCUACUGUGAGUGGAUUGGCAUUAAAAGAUCAACCUCAGAUCUACUAAGAUUUUCAAAGUUUGGCUGUAAGAUAUUAGCUUGUUGGCUACAUAAUAGGAAAAAAGGAGAAUAAUUUCCGGGGUAAGGGGAUGUUAUUUUUAAAUAUUUGCAAGACCCAAGGAAAGAGUGAUUUUUUUUUUUUAAAUUAGAAGUGGAGAUGAAGUUUAGAAGAAUACUAAAGAGUUAAGGGUCUAGCUGAAAAUGUUUACAAUUACAUGAUCUUUAAACAAGACCAAUUUAAGUCAUUCUCCUGGGGACUAUUUCUAAAGGCCUGGCUGGUUUUCCUCAACAUUUUAUCCUCUCUCACAAUACUAGGUUGUGGCUAAACCUGGGAGAGAAACUUUGGCUUUCCCCAUAAAUGUAUAGGGGUUUGUUUUCAUGAAAAAUUCUCAAUUGUUAGACAAUUGCUUAUUUUUUUUUUUUUUAACGACAGGCUCUAUUGUGUAUGUUUCUAUCCUAAGCCUGGAUUAUUUUAUUUAUUAAUUAAAAGCAUAUUUAAGUUCAUUUACCAGCUUUCUUCAAGCCCCAUCCAUUCUUGUAUGGCUAUAAAGCAUCUCCAUUGGAAGAGACAAACAAAUGGAAAUAGAUUCUCAUGUAAUUUGAGAAGCUAGCAAUUUCUCACAGCUGAAGUAAACUGUCUUUGAUUAUUGUUGGCACCAAGGGAAAUGGAAAACCAGAUUUUUCAAUGGCUAAAAGGCCACAUUUUCUCUGUGGUUCAUUCCAAAAAGCUAUAUAGGACCAAGUGAUUCCUUAACACUAAAGGCUCUUCCAUAACAUUAAAUACAAUAACGAUAAAUACACUCCAUAUAUAUUAAUCUGGAAGUGUCUAAAUAAAAUGAAAUACUAUUCUUGACUGACUUAGUAGGGAUUAUCCAUCUAGAUUGCCCUAAGUCCUUGACUUUGCUAAUAUAAAUUCUAACUGAGGGGUUUCUAAUACUUUGUGACCUGAAACAGGUUGGUUCGCUUGAAAUAUUUAGCUUAUCAACCCUAAAUGAAACAAGAACUUAGGGAUGGGUCUCUCUUGUACACAGCUAGACUCUCAUCCAUAAGCUGUUUUCAAAACCAUUUUUGCAAAUUUUUCUUUAAUCUUUAAAGUGUCCUCUGCCUUGUAGAAAUUGUAUAUUGAAUGAAAAGCAUCUUUUCAGUCAAUGCUGAUUUAGCUUUCCCUGCUGAAUUUCAAAUAAAUGAGACUUUAUUAUAUUUCGGAUUUUCAAUAUAGAGAUGAUCUCUUUCUCCCUGCUUUCUAGGGUAUCCCACUGCCCCCUGCUGGAUGGGGGGAAUCCAUAAGUACCCAGUAUAAGAAGUCAUAUUAUCACCAUAAUUGGAUUCUAGGUUGUUUGUCAUCUCAUGGUCUUGGCACCAAACUUAAGGAAACUAAAGUUUUGUUUGUAGUUGCUCAGGUCCCAAGGAGACUGGAUUCUGGAAAUUGCCCUUAAAGGUGGUACAAUUAUAAUGUUGGAUGUUACCUCUCCAAAGCAUAGUUCCAAAUAGGUCAAGAACUGGACAAGGUUAUUAACAUUCUUUAAAAAAUAAAAUCAGUUGUUAUUGAGAUGCCAGUUCAUUUUUUCUCCCUGUUUUCUAGAUUUUCCUUAUCUGAUAAAUCUGCCUGCUAAUGCUCAUGAACGAACAUCUAGAUUUUAAAAGUUAUUUCUGUUUCAGGCUCCACCUCAUAUGAUUAUAAUUAAAUGAUAUAGAAACACCAGUUAAUCCCUUGAUAUAAAAACCUUGACAGCAUCUUCAACUGAAUGGACAUUUUCGUACUCUGUACUCCAUCCCAACCUUGAACUUGGGCAGUCAGCCCAACCCACUGGAUGGGGAUUUGUAGGCAAGUGAAGGUAUCGUCUCUAGAUACCAAAAGGGGAGCCACAUUUAAUUUUAAAAGGAUAUCAGAAAAUUAAUAUCUGGUAUUGCCAAUUUUACCUUUGUAAAUGGUGCUUUUAGUAGAAUGGGGGAGAGGAGAAAGAUAUCUAAGUCAAAAAUGUUAUGGGCAAAGGCUUGUAAUUGAGGCACAAUGAAGAACCCUUAGUCUAAAGGGGGUCUAGCUAGAUGAAAUUCUGUCAUCCAUCUCCAUGUACCUCAGAAUCAACUGAUAUCAGUCAUAGGUAGCAAACUACAAAACAGCUGGAAUCCAUGAAAUUUGGGGGUUUGUUUUUCUUUUUAACCAGUCUGCCCAGAUAUUAAAAGCAAUGGGUUUGUGAUGCCAAAGGAUGUAACAUCCCUUCCACUAUAGUUUGAAUUCAUAACCUUGAUACUUUUAAGCUUAGUUUAAAUAUGCAGACUGGUGUGUUCCACUAUACUCUUUAAGCAGCUCACAGCUCACCAAAUACUGGUUACAACUAUUUCCUAUUGUUCAGUUCCUGAGGUUUAAUAGUCCGGGAUUCUAAAAAUAAGGUGUAAAUGUCUGAAUGUACUUUACUGGCAUAGAAAGCAAUGCUUGUUUUUCACUGUUGUAGAGAAAACUAGGGAGAACUUUAUUUUUCAAUAAACUUUUUUCUUGUGUGA
rnacentral:lncRNA from 1 species